AUCGCUUCUCGGCCUUUUGGCUAAGAUCAAGUGUAGUAUCUCUAAAGUAACAAACAGACUUUAGGAAAAAGAAGCAAAGUUUUU
rnacentral:snRNA from 1 species